GACGAACGCUGGCGGCGUGCUUAACACAUGCAAGUCGAGCGGUAAGGCCCUUUCGGGGGUACACGAGCGGCGAACGGGUGAGUAACACGUGGGUGACCUGCCCUCAGCUCUGGGAUAAGCCUGGGAAACCGGGUCUAAUACUGGAUAUGACUCCAUGACGCAUGUUGUGGGGUGGAAAGCCUUGUGCGGCUGAGGAUGGGCCCGCGGCCUAUCAGCUUGUUGGUGGGGUGANGGCCUACCAAGGCGACGACGGGUAGCCGGCCUGAGAGGGCGACCGGCCACACUGGGACUGAGACACGGCCCAGACUCUACGGGAGGCAGCAGUGGGGAAUCUUGCGCAAUGGGCGAAAAGCCUGACGCAGCGACGCCGCGUGAGGGAUGACGGCCU
rnacentral:rRNA from 1 species